GUGCCUUGAGGCGUGGCUUCCGGAGCUAACGCGUUAAAUCGACCGCCUGGGGAGUACGGCCGCAAGGUUAAAACUCAAAUGAAUUGACGGGGGCCCGCACAAGCGGUGGAGCAUGUGGUUUAAUUCGAUGCAACGCGAAGAACCUUACCUACUCUUGACAUCCAGAGAACUUAGCAGAGAUGCUUUGGUGCCUUCGGGAACUCUGAGACAGGUGCUGCAUGGCUGUCGUCAGCUCGUGUUGUGAAAUGUUGGGUUAAGUCCCGCAACGAGCGCAACCCUUAUCCUUUGUUGCCAGCGGUUCGGCCGGGAACUCAAAGGAGACUGCCAGUGAUAAACUGGAGGAAGGUGGGGAUGACGUCAAGUCAUCAUGGCCCUUACGAGUAGGGCUACACACGUGCUACAAUGGCAUAUACAAAGAGAAGCGACCUCGCGAGAGCAAGCGGACCUCAUAAAGUAUGUCGUAGUCCGGAUUGGAGUCUGCAACUCGACUCCAUGAAGUCGGAAUCGCUAGUAAUCGUAGAUCAGAAUGCUACGGUGAAUACGUUCCCGGGCCUUGCACUCCCCGCCCGUCAAAA
rnacentral:rRNA from 1 species